ACUGUAGGUGAACCUGCAGAUGGAUCAU
rnacentral:rRNA from 1 species